UACGGAGGAUGCAAGCGUUAUCCGGAAUGAUUGGGCGUAAAGCGUCCGCAGGUGGAAUUUCAAGUUUGCGGUUAAAGGUUCUGGCUCAACCAUAGACAAGCCGUGAAAACUGAGAAGCUAGAGUAUGGUAGGGGCAGAGGGAAUUCCCAGUGUAGCGGUGAAAUGCGUAGAGAUUGGGAAGAACACCGGUGGCGAAAGCGAUCUGCUAGGCCAAAACUGACACUGAGGGACGAAAGCGUGGGGAGCGAAUGGG
rnacentral:rRNA from 1 species